rnacentral:rRNA from 1 species
AACGAACGCUGGCGGCAGGCCUAACACAUGCAAGUCGAGCGCGCCCUUCGGGGUUAGCGGCGGACGGGUGAGUAACGCGUGGGAACGUGCCCUUUUCUACGGAAUAGCCUCGGGAAACUGAGAGUAAUACCGUAUACGCCCUUUGGGGGAAAGAUUUAUCGGAAAAGGAUCGGCCCGCGUUGGAUUAGGUAGUUGGUGGGGUAAUGGCCUACCAAGCCGACGAUCCAUAGCUGGUUUGAGAGGAUGAUCAGCCACACUGGGACUGAGACACGGCCCAGACUCCUACGGGAAGCAGCAGUGGGGAAUCUUAGACAAUGGGGGCAACCCUGAUCGAGCCAUGCCGCGUGAGUGAUGAAGGCCUUAGGGUUGUAAAGCUCUUUCAGCUGGGAAGAUAAUGACGGUACCAGCAGAAGAAGCCCCGGCUAACUCCGUG